ensembl:lncRNA
GGGGAGAGGAGAGAGACGGGGGAGAGGUGAGAGACGGAGGAGAGGAGAGAGACGGAGGAGAGGUGAGAGACGGGGGAGAGGAGAGAGACGGAGGAGAGGUGAGAGACGGAGGAGAGGUGAGAGACGGAGGAGAGGUGAGAGACGGAGGAGAGGUGAGAGACGGAGGAGAGGGGAGAGAGACGGAGGAGAGGUGAGGCACGGGGGAGAGGAGAGAGACGGAGGAGAGGAGAGAGACGGAGGAGAGGAGAGAGACGGGGGGAGAGGUGAGAGACGGAGGAGAGGUGAGAGACGGAGGAGAGGUGAGAGACGGGGGAGUGGUGAGAGACGGGGGAGAGGAGAGAGACGGAGGAGAGGAGAGAGACGGAGGAGAGGAGAGAGACGGAGGAGAAGUGAGAGACGGAGGAGAGGUGAGAGACGGGGGAGUGGUGAGAGACGGGGGAGAGGAGAGAGACGGAGGAGAGGAGAGAGACGGAGGAGAGGAGAGAGACGGAGGAGAAGUGAGAGACGGAGGAGAGGUGAGAGACGGGGGGGAGUGGUGAGAGACGGGGGGGAGAGGAGAGAGACGGAGGAGAGGAGAGAGACGGAGGAGAGGAGAGAGACGGAGGAGAAGUGAGAGACGGGGGAGAGGAGAGAGACGGAGGAGAUGUGAGAGACGGGGGAGAGGAGAGAGACGGAGGAGAGGAGAGAGACGGAGGAGAGUAGAGAGACGGAGGAGAGGAGAGAGACGGAGGAGAGUAGAGAGAUGGAGGAGAGGAGAGAGAGAGGAGAGGAGAGAGACGGAGGAGAGGAGAGGAGAGAGACGGGGAGAGGAGAGAGACGGAGGAGAGGUGAGAGACGGAGGAGAGGUGAGAGACGGAGGAGAGGAGAGAGACGGAGGAGAGGGGAGAGACGGGAGAGGAGAGAGACGGAGGAGAGGUGAGGGACGGGGAGAGGAGAGAGACGGAGGAGAGAGAGAGGAGAGGAGAGAGACGGAGGAGAGGAGAGAGACGGGGAGAGGAGAGAGAGGAUAGGAGAGAGACGGAGGAGAGGAGAGAGACGGAGGAGAGGAGAGAGACGGAGGAGAGGAGAGAGACGGGGGGAGAGGAGAGAGACAGAGGAGAGUAGAGAGAGAGGAGAGGAGAGAGACGGAGGAGAGGAGAGAGACGGGGGGAGAGGAGAGAGACGGAGGAGAGGUGAGAGACGGAGGAGAAGAGAGAGAUGGAGGAGAGGUGAGAGACGGGGGAGAGGAGAGAGACUCGGGAGAGGAGAGAGAUGGAGGAGAGGAGAGAGACGGAGGAGAGGAGAGAGACGGGGGAGAGGAGAGAGAGAGAGAGACGACGGAGAGGAGAGAGAUGGAGGAGAGGAGAGAGACGGAGGAGAGGAGAGAGACGGAGGAGAGGAGAGAGACGGAGGAGAGGAGAGAGACUGAGGAGAGGAGAGAGACUGAGGAGAGGAGAGAGACGGGG